rnacentral:rRNA from 1 species
GAUGAACGCUAGCGGCAGGCUUAAUACAUGCAAGUCGUGGGGCAGCGCAGUGUAGCAAUACAUGGGCGGCGACCGGCAAACGGGUGCGGAACACGUACACAACCUUCCUUCAAAUGGGGAAUAGCCCAGGGAAACUUGGAUUAAUACCCCGUAACAUUAUGAGGUGGCAUCACUUUAUAAUUAUAGCUCCGGCGUUUGGAGAUGGGUGUGCGGCUGAUUAGGUAGUUGGCGGGGUAACGGCCCACCAAGCCUUCGAUCAGUAACUGGUGUGAGAGCACGACCAGUCACACGGGCACUGAGACACGGGCCCGACUCCUACGGGAGCAGCAGUAAGGAUAUUGGGCAAUGGACGCAAGUCUGACCCAGCCAUGCCGCGUGGAGGAUGAAGGUCCUCUGGAUUGUAAACUUCUUUUCUCUGGGGCGAAAAUAGGUAUUCUUACUUACUUGACAGUACCAGAGGAAUAAGCACCGGCUAACU